rnacentral:lncRNA from 1 species
UUUUUAGUCACAUUUUGAUCAGCAUGAACCUUUUUACCAAUCAAAAUUUAUUUCAAAGUUUGAUCAGAGCAUGUAUGUUUUUGGGAAGUUUAUUUCACACUGAUCAUUAUGGUGCACUCGAUUUAAUUUUUUGAAUUUUUAUUUAUAAUCAGUUAUUUUAUUUUUAUUCUUUUGCCAUAGUAUUUAAAAAAAUUAAAUAGAACUUUU